rnacentral:rRNA from 13 species
UUCCACACGUACCCAUCCCGAACACGACCGUUAAGCCCUCUAGCGCCGAUGGUACUUGGACCGCAGGGUCCUGGGAGAGUAGGACGCCGCCAAGC